rnacentral:misc_RNA from 1 species
GGUUUGGCUCACUCUGUUGCUUCUAUCUUCUCUCUCAGUAGUCGACGGGCAGGACAUGCUUCUCAUUUUUCUUAGUUAUUAGAUCAGUUGUUUAUAGAAAGAAAGAUAGAGGGAGCCUUUUGUACAAGGAAGGGUUGUAGUUUUGUACAUGAAUGGAUUGUUCUUUUCUAAUCUUGCUUUUUUGGUCAUCUCUUGCUUUUCAUUCUUUUUUAUGGCAAUUAAAACUUAAAUGGCAGAGAAAAGAUUGGGAGUUCAAUAAAGUCUGGUAUGUUUGGAGCUGGUAAACCUUGUUUUGCUUGAAUUGGUCCAUUAGAGUUGGAGAAUUGAAAUUGGAUCGAGAUUCAUUAUAACUACAAGAACACCCUUUCUUUUGAACUGGGUUGUAAUAUCACUCAGUUUACAACAAUGAUCAGAGAUUCAGAACUUGUAAUACCACAGAUAUUGUUGACAUAGAAAACAGGUGUUGGUGCACUAAAUGGCUUGAGAAAGGAGUGUCCUUUAUUUUUCUUUAGUCUUCUAGCUUUCCAAGGAGAGUCCUUUAUUUUUCUUUAGUCUUCUAGCUUUCCAAGGAGAGUCCUUUAUUUUUCUUUAGUCUUCUAGCUUUCCAAGGAGA